GGCCGAAUGGUCUAGUGGUAUGAUUCUUGCUUUGGGUUCUUCCUAAAUUGUAAGAGGCCCCGGGUUCAAAUCCCGGUUCGGCCC
rnacentral:tRNA from 1 species